GAAUGUUUGAAAGAGGCCUGUUGGAUUAUUUUAAUUUCUUGAAAAGAUGGACUUGGAUAAAACUACCAGACUUCAAGAGGACAAAGAACCCAUGUCAGGGAAGAGACAAGAGAAGGGACUGACAUGAAAGGCAGUUUAGAGAGGCUGUGUUGUUUCCCUGCAGGGACGGCUGGCUGCAGUUUUAAUAAUCCAUCUAGCUGGUCCCUCCGGAGCUGACUGAACACGCACACAGACCCAGUUUAUAGCCUAUUUGUGGGGUCAGAAGACAGCCUGGACGUCCAGCUCCACCCUUCAUCGUGGACAUCAGGCCGGCCUUUCUCCCCGGAGGAGGAGGUGAGCAGAUGUCUCUAAAUCAGUUUGGCCAAAGACCCGAAACAACCUCCGCUGCAAUUAAUGGGGAUGUUUGUAGCGCAGAGAGCAUCGCUGUCCAGCUGAACUGCUGCAACAGGUCAGGACUCAAAGUGUGUUUAAUAUUAAUUACUUUUAAGUUUAUUUCACAGGGACAAUAGGUAACAGCAACUUUUAAUUGUUCACCUUAACACCCGGGGAUACAUGACAAAAUAAUGAAUUAAAGCUAAAAGAAACCAUUGUCACAACUUCUUCCAAACUAAGAUGAGAUCAAUUUUAGUAAUCCCUUACUGGUAAAAUUCACAUGUUACAGCAGCUAGAUAAAAAUGAAGCACAGUGAACAACAAAACAAGAAAUAUUAAACAGCAAUAAAGGUAAAAAAAAAAAAAAAAA